UCCCGCACGAGCGCAACCCUUGUCCUAGUUGCCAUCAUUUGGUUGGGCACUCUAUCGAGACUGCCGGUGACAAACCGGAGGAAGGUGGGGAUGACGUCAAGUCCUCAUGGCCCUUAUGGGUAGGGCUUCACACGUCAUACAAUGGUCGGUACAGAGGGUUGCCAAGCCGCGAGGUGGAGCCAAUCCCUUAAAGCCGAUCGUAGUCCGGAUCGCAGUCUGCAACUCGACUACGUGAAGUCGGAAUCGCUAGUAAUCGCGGAUCAGCAUGCUGCGGUGAAUACGUUCCCGGGUCUUGUAACACCGCCCGUA
rnacentral:rRNA from 1 species